rnacentral:lncRNA from 7 species
AGAACAGCGCGUCCCAGGGGAGCGCAGUGCCAUGCUCCUCCAGCACUUGGCCGGGUGCCUCCGCUGAUGCUCUCAGGUGGUGGGGUUUGGUGUGGCUUUGCUCAGCCGGGAGCUCCAAACCUGCAGCUCCGGAGUGGCUUUUGCCAUUAGAAGAAGAUCCGGUGACUACAACUGCUCCUCCAGUUCGGUUUCUCCCUACGGAAGCGCUCACAGUGCUGAGCUUGCCGGAUUUCGAGAAGCAUCUGUUAAACGGGCUGCCACCCGCAUCCCACCCGGCGAAGCUCUGGGGCUGCAGCCGCGAUGUUCGGCCCUACACCCUGAGGUUAUUUGGCCACAGCGGCGAUGUGAGCUCAGCUCCUCCAGGACACGGCUCAGUGCUCUGCCUCCUCCCGGAGCCGCUCUGCCUUCAGCAGUCCUGGCAGAGUGCUGAACACGCUGUGGGUCCAGGUGAGCUCUCUCCCAGUGGGAGCAUCCAAUGAAGGCUGCAGCAAAGAGUGAGUGGAAGAGCAGAGCCAGGAGCUGCACGGGCGCAGCAGGAGCCCACUGCUGGAUUUUCCUGGGAGGAGACCCUGCUGCUGCCUUGCUCCAUCCCACUGGCUUCGAAGCCAUCACUCGCUGCUGCAAGGCACGGGCAGGUUCACCCCACUGCUGGGUGCUGCUUCCCAUGGGAUGUUUGGGAAGACCUGAAUGGUGCUGAGAUCCACGUGUGGAUCUGCAACUGUUCUCCACCUCCGGGCUCCGACCUCGCAGCCGUAUGAGCGAUCCUUUGGGUGCUUUCCAGCUCUAAACCGAAGCAUCUCUGCAGCAAAGCCCUGAUUAUUCCAGGCUGCAAAGCAGGUCUGCAGCAAUUAGAGAUGGAACAAAACCCUUCCAGCUCCGGAGCCACGCAGGGGAAAAACAAAUCUGCGUGGGAUGGAUUUGAGCUUAAACACAGACUGCCCCGGCCCCGAGCAAUGAGGGUGGCAGGGAUGUGCCCGGGGUGGGGAGGGGGCUGCCAUCCCCACUGCCUUCCCACGACCCUCCUGGCGCCCGCCCCGCUCACAAAACCAGAACUCCUUAUUCCUGAGAACUUAAUCUGGUGGUUUUGUUCAGCAAAACUCCAGCAGCCGUCAGCUGGGAGCGGGGGCUGCGCCGGGCAGCACGGGAAAGUCUCGUUUUGCAUCUAAUGAAAAUUGCAUCCUUUGUUGUUCUUCUUUCUUUAGAUAUAUAUAUAUAUAUAUAUAUAUUUUUUCCCUCUCGACUACAAAAAGGGGACGUUUCCAACGCUCAGCAGCUGGAGAUAAAAAAAAGGGAUAAAAUAUUUAUUCUCAAAUGAGCCGGUAAUAAACGAACCUGGGAGCUCGAGUC